UUCAAUAAAUUAUUCUACUGCCAUUCUCAGUUGGAGUCUUGAUAUGAUCUAUUAAGGCACGCUGUGAAUGCCAAGGAAUUUUAUUUCUCUUCU
rnacentral:pre_miRNA from 1 species